GACAGAGGCCUCAAGCGUUAGGCGGAAUCACUGGGCUUAAAGCGUGUGUAGGCGGAUCGUUAAGUGUCUUGUGAAAUCCCACGGCUCACCCGUGGAACUGCUGGGCAUACUGGCGAUCUUGGGCCAACUAGGGGCAGCCGGAACAAGCGGUGGAGCGGUGAAAUGCGUAGAUAUCGCUUGGAACGCCGAAGGUGAAAACAGGCUGCUGGGGUUGUGCCGACGCUGGAGACACGAAAGCCAGGGGAGCAAACGGG
rnacentral:rRNA from 1 species